UGGGGAAUAUUGCACAAUGGGCGCAAGCCUGAUGCAGCCAUGCCGCGUGUAUGAAGAAGGCCUUCGGGUUGUAAAGUACUUUCAGCGAGGAGGAAGGCGAUGCGGUUAAUAACCGUGUCGAUUGACGUUACUCGCAGAAGAAGCACCGGCUAACUCCGUGCCAGCAGCCGCGGUAAUACGGAGGGUGCAAGCAUUAAUCGGCAUUACUGGGCGUAAAGCGCACGCAGGCGGUCUGUCAAGUCGGAUGUGAAAUCCCCGGGCUCAACCUGGGAACUGCAUUCGAAACUGGCAGGCUUGAGUCUUGUAGAGGGGGGUAGAAUUCCAGGUGUAGCGGUGAAAUGCGUAGAGAUCUGGAGGAAUACCGGUGGCGAAGGCGACCCCCUGGACAAAGACUGACGCUCAGGUGCGAAAGCGUGGGGAGCAAACA
rnacentral:rRNA from 1 species